CCCCUUCCCCUUUAAACAAAAAAAUCUAGCCACUCUAAUCCCUUUAUCUUCUCAAGACAGCCGUCCCUCCCUCUUCUUCCUCAAGAGAAAUACAUGAAAGUUUUAUAUUAAACUCAAUCAUAAAACCAUGUAGCCAAUCCACCACCCAAACACCUCCCUUUUCUCCUUAAAAUAGGUACCACUGUUACCCCAUUUUUAAACCAUAAAAAUAGCCUAAAAGCCCAUAGCUUUACACGCCCAAGUUUGUCGCCCCACAGACGCAAUGCAGAAACACUCUGCAAUUAAAAGAAAUCUAGAAAAAUCUUUUAAAAAAUGUUUCGAGCAAAAAAAAAGGGGGCGGGGGGAAGUCGGAAUUUGAGGGACUGACUUCGACUUCUUUUGGUUUUUGGCAUCGAUUCUCUGUGUUUGCUAAGGAGUUUCGUUAUUGUUCCUUUUCUUUGCUGGUGCUGGAACUUUAAUCCUCUAUUUCAGACUUUUAUUUGGUCAGUUCCUGCCGAUUUCCAAUUGUCAAGUAUGUCAGAUUCUUGUGUAGUUAUCUACCAAAUCUAUAAAAUAGAAUUCUAAAAUGUUUGGGGUUAUAUAUUGAAAUAUUCUCGAUUUUGGCUGAAAUUCUGUUAUGGAUAAAAUUGUUAUUAGUUCUUAAUUAUUUCAAAAUUAAUCUUGCAAAUUGUAUGCUUCUACCAUCACUAUCUUGAGUUUUUGAUUUAGGCAAUAAUGAAUUGUUUGGGUAUUUUCAGUAUAAUUAAGCUAAAAUCGGUCUGUCCUUUUCUGGUAAUUACUGUUUCACUAAGAGCAUGAUAAGUACAUAAUAAAUUAGAAGUUUGUUAUUUGUAUAAUUUUGUUCAAAUGUUGUUUGGAUAGAUUUUUCUUAAAAGAAAAAAUAGACUUAAUGGUGUCAAUUGCCGAAUGGAUUUUUUGAGUAAGCGCCUUACCGUUUUAUAGUAUUUGCUUUACAAGACUUUAGUUGUCACUUGUGUGUUGAAAAACUGCAUAUAUAGUUUACACUCAUGACGUGCUUUAGCUAUUUUGUUCGUUCUGCAUUUAUUUUCAUCUGUUCUUAUAAGAUGGAUGUGUUAACAUCUAUUGGGUAAUUCCUAAAAUAUGGAUGGCGAAGCUUGAAGGUUAGUCUCUUUGAACUUGUCCAGUCAGUUUCAAAUUACUAGGUUUUAAAUGGAGAAAGAUAUGUGUCUUAGGCUGUUAUGUAAGAAGUGACGACCGAGGCACUCUUUCCUUUGGUUUGAUGGUAUAGGACAAAUUUAUGGAUAGUGAAUUCUUAUAUUUGGAAAGUUCUCUUAUGUGUCUACAUAGAAUGUAUUUUGUUUAUGCAUUAAUUUUGUCCUCUUGUCAAGUUUAAAGUGAAAGUUGAUUAAUGUUUUAGUGGUGAUGAACGCACAAUUGUUGACAGGUCGUAGGGAUUUGAAUUUGUUAAUGAAUCAAUAGCUAACCCAUUUUUCACAAAUGACUUCCAUAAUCUAUGGCCUCAAAUAAUCUCAAACUUAGGAAAGAUCAACUUAUAAAUAUGUGAAGAAUGCUUUAGGCACGUUUUUAAUCUAUUUUCGUGAUUAUGUACACGUUUGUGUGACAUAAUUAUGAUCCUAAAAAUAAAUCAAGGUACGCGUUUGCAUGACUUUGGCCAAAAACAAAAUAAUAAAGCAUGAUUAAUUGUGUACAUGUACGCUUGGGAGGUAUCACACAAAUUUGUCUCAUGUGUUAGACUUCAGUACUAUUCAGCUAGAUGAGAGCUUGGGCUAUGAGGAGGAGCCAAUUGCCACUGUUGAUAGACAGGAUCACCAGUUUUCUGUGGUAAAGGUCCAGUGGAGGGGCCAACCAGUCAAGGAGGCGACCUGGGAGUGCGAGGAGGAUAUGCGGAGUAGAUAUCCACACUUGUUUAACACUUCAGGAUCUGAGACAGGUGCAUCUAGCUACCCGUCUGGUGCGCAUUCUUGAUAUUUGGCCGAGAUUCCACGGUGAGAUGCUCCUUUCCGAUGUUGUUCAGCAGCAUGAUGGAGUCUCUCUUUUGUUUUUUUGGCUGUAUAUUUUAUUCCAAGCAGUAGGAUAAACAUAUUCUUUUGUAUAUUCUACUAAAUGCCCAUAUACUUGUGACUCUAGGUCUUCACACACACAUUAGUAGACUAUUCUUUUGGAAUGUAAUCACUUAAUUAUAAUAUCAGUUGGUCACUUUAGUUUUUAAA